AACUGCAACUUGAUGUGCUUUCCA
rnacentral:siRNA from 1 species